UACAGAGGGUGCGAGCGUUAAUCGGAAUUACUGGGCGUAAAGCGCGCGUAGGCGGCUUUGCAAGCCGGAUGUGAAAUCCCCGGGCUUAACCUGGGAACUGCAUUCGGGACUGCAUUGCUAGAGUAUGGGAGAGGGAAGUGGAAUUUCAGGUGUAGCGGUGAAAUGCGUAGAUAUCUGAAGGAACAUCAGUGGCGAAAGCGACUUCCUGGACCAAUACUGACGCUCAUGGGCGAAAGCGUGGGGAGCAAACAGG
rnacentral:rRNA from 1 species